rnacentral:lncRNA from 1 species
GGGGGAAAUAUUAUUUUAAUAAAUAUGAAAAACUUCUUUAAACAGUCAGAAUUGAAAGCAAUCGUAUAGUGAUGUGUUACCAUGUGGAAAUGCUAUUGCCAAGAACAGUACGUUUGAGAGCUCGGAAAUUCUUAGUUAAAUCAUUGCUGUAGUUAUAUUCAGGCUGAUGCUGCGGGCCGGUGCGGGAGAAAGCUGCAGCCCUGCGCUCUCUGCGCUGCCCUUUGCUUCGUGACCCGGCGCCUCCUGAACAAUACGCUGGGGCACUUUCGAAACUUCAGGGCGUGCACCCAGCGCGGGCGGCAGCACCAGGAAAUGGGAUCCGGGUGCUGCUGCCUUAUGAAUAUAUUGAUGACACUUUGAGAUUGGAAAGACCAUGAUUACUACAUUCAUUGAGGUGUGACUUCAGUUGUCUGCAGAAAGUGAAGCUGGGUCAGCUUGGUUUGCCUCCCAUAUCACAGGUGUGUUCCUACAGCAGGGUUUUCACUCCUUUCUAGUAUCUGAAGUCUUCUGUGCCUAGAAUAGAGAUAUGUCAGUGUGGAAGGAAAUGAGGAAAUGUCACAAGUUCUGUCUUCCUUGGGAACUGAACAAAUUAGAUUUCCCUCUGUGGAAAACACUUUACUGGAGAUGCCAUCUGUAGAUAAAGUCUUUUAGUGUUUUGGGACUUGGGCAUACUCAAUCACCUGUACAUUUCCUCUGAAAAAUAACAGAAAACAGGUAAAAUUUGCUGUCUCUAAUUCUGUUUAGGCUGUUUAAAGACAAGUCAUUCAAACCAGCCAUUUUGUUUCUGAUAAAAAAUCAUUUUGGUAUAGAUUUGCCUUUACUUUCCAUUAAAUUGCAGAAAGGCUUAUCAUGAGAAUUUUUAGUAGUUUACAAGGACUAUUUUUCUUGAUGUUUUAAUGUCUUCUUAAAUGUGUUAAAUACGUGAAACCAAUAAGAUACACAAUUAAAAUGGUACAUGCUGCCACUGUGAGUAUAUCCUCAAACUUUGACUUUUGAAAACUUUAAACUUUUUUUAAUUGAAAUUUUACAGGGAGUUGAGUUAGUGUAAAGGAAUUGCAAGAGCUAUCUUUAACCAGUUAAAUCCUUUAAACAAGGAUUUAACUGGUGCUGAAAGACAUUCCACAUUUUCAAUGUUCAAGCUAAAAACUGUGAAAUCUGCAAGUAGU